rnacentral:rRNA from 1 species
CAAGUCAGAUGUGAAAGCCUUCUGUUCAACGGAAGAAUUGCAUCUGAAACUGCUAAUCUUGAGUAUAGGAGGGGAGAAUGGAACUUCUGGUGGAGCGGUGAAAUGCGUAGAUAUCAGAAGGAACGCCGGCGGCGAAAGCGAUUCUCUGGCCUAUUACUGACACUCAGUGUGCGAAAGCUAGGGGGGCAAACGGGAUUAGAUACCCCGGUAGUCCUAGCUGUAAACGAUGGGCACUAAGUAGAGGGGAUUACCUAUAUACUCUCUGCCGUAGCUAACGCAUUAAGUGCCCCGCCUGGGGAGUACGGCCGCAAGGCUAAAACUCAAAAGAAUUGACGGGGGCUCGCACAAGCGGUGGAGCAUGUGGCUUAAUUCGAUGCAACGCGAAAAACCUUACCGGGGCUUGACAUGAUAGAAGUAGGAACCUGAAAGGGGGACGAACGGUAUCCAGUCCGUAGCUAUUACAGGUGUUGCAUGGCUGUCGUCAGCUCGUGUCGUGAGACGUUGGGUUAAGUCCCCUAACGAGCGAAACCCUUGUUUUUAGUUACCAGCGGGUUAUGCCGGGUACUCUAGAAAGACUGCCGUCGUCAAGACGGAGGAAGGUGGGGACGACGUCAAGUCAUCAUGGCCCUUAUGCCCCGGGCUGCACACGUGCUACAAUGGUCGGUACAGACGGAAGCGAAG